rnacentral:rRNA from 1 species
AAUUUUGGACAAUGGGGGGAACCCUGAUCCAGCCAUCCCGCGUGUAUGAUGAAGGCCUUCGGGUUGUAAAGUACUUUUGACAGGGAAGAAACGGCACCACCUAAUACGUGGUGUUAAUGACGGUACCUGUAGAAUAAGCCCCGGCUAACUACUUGCCCGCAGCCGCGGUAAUACGUAGGGUGCAAGCGGUAAUCGGAAUUACUGGGCUUAAAGCGUGUGUAGGCGGUUCGGAAAGAAAGAUGUGAAAUCCCAGGGCUCAACCUUGGAACUGCAUUUUUAACUGCCGAGCUAGAGUAUGUCAGAGGGGGGUAGAAUUCCACGUGUAGCAGUGAAAUGCGUAGAUAUGUGGAGGAAUACCGAUGGCGAAGGCAGCCCCCUGGGAUAAUACUGACGCUCAGACACGAAAGCGUGGGGAGCAAAC